rnacentral:tRNA from 1 species
GUUUUUAUAGUUGAAUACAACAGAAAUUUUUCAGAUUUCAGGUCUAAGUUAAAGUCUUAGUAGGAACU